rnacentral:rRNA from 2 species
UGCAGUCGAGCGGACAGAUGGGAGCUUGCUCCCUGAUGUUAGCGGCGGACGGGUGAGUAACACGUGGGUAACCUGCCUGUAAGACUGGGAUAACUCCGGGAAACCGGGGCUAAUACCGGAUGGUUGUCUGAACCGCAUGGUUCAGACAUAAAAGGUGGCUUCGGCUACCACUUACAGAUGGACCCGCGGCGCAUUAGCUAGUUGGUGAGGUAACGGCUCACCAAGGCGACGAUGCGUAGCCGACCUGAGAGGGUGAUCGGCCACACUGGGACUGAGACACGGCCCAGACUCCUACGGGAGGCAGCAGUAGGGAAUCUUCCGCAAUGGACGAAAGUCUGACGGAGCAACGCCGCGUGAGUGAUGAAGGUUUUCGGAUCGUAAAGCUCUGUUGUUAGGGAAGAACAAGUGCCGUUCAAAUAGGGCGGCACCUUGACGGUACCUAACCAGAAAGCCACGGCUAACUACGUGCCAGCAGCCGCGGUAAUACGUAGGUGGCAAGCGUUGUCCGGAAUUAUUGGGCGUAAAGGGCUCGCAGGCGGUUUCUUAAGUCUGAUGUGAAAGCCCCCGGCUCAACCGGGGAGGGUCAUUGGAAACUGGGGAACUUGAGUGCAGAAGAGGAGAGUGGAAUUCCACGUGUAGCGGUGAAAUGCGUAGAGAUGUGGAGGAACACCAGUGGCGAAGGCGACUCUCUGGUCUGUAACUGACGCUGAGGAGCGAAAGCGUGGGGAGCGAACAGGAUUAGAUACCCUGGUAGUCCACGCCGUAAACGAUGAGUGCUAAGUGUUAGGGGGUUUCCGCCCCUUAGUGCUGCAGCUAACGCAUUAAGCACUCCGCCUGGGGAGUACGGUCGCAAGACUGAAACUCAAAGGAAUUGACGGGGGCCCGCACAAGCGGUGGAGCAUGUGGUUUAAUUCGAAGCAACGCGAAGAACCUUACCAGGUCUUGACAUCCUCUGACAAUCCUAGAGAUAGGACGUCCCCUUCGGGGGCAGAGUGACAGGUGGUGCAUGGUUGUCGUCAGCUCGUGUCGUGAGAUGUUGGGUUAAGUCCCGCAACGAGCGCAACCCUUGAUCUUAGUUGCCAGCAUUCAGUUGGGCACUCUAAGGUGACUGCCGGUGACAAACCGGAGGAAGGUGGGGAUGACGUCAAAUCAUCAUGCCCCUUAUGACCUGGGCUACACACGUGCUACAAUGGACAGAACAAAGGGCAGCGAAACCGCGAGGUUAAGCCAAUCCCACAAAUCUGUUCUCAGUUCGGAUCGCAGUCUGCAACUCGACUGCGUGAAGCUGGAAUCGCU